rnacentral:lncRNA from 1 species
UCGGGGCUCUUUCCUGCUGUCUGUCUGUGGGGUUGGUCCCUACCUGCAUGCGCUUACUGCGAACACCCUAGGGGAGCUUUGCUUUUCCUUCUGUUUUGCUGAGCUGCACUGUUCAAUAAAACAGCUGGUAUAGAACUUUGCUCCUCUCCUGUAAUUUUUGUUUUUUUUUUACUUUAAUUGAAAUUGGAAGGCUGAGAUCCACCUAUUGAUAAUCUGAAGGAUUACUCUCAAUUGUGACAACCACAAUUUGGCGACCAGACGAAGGGACAAGGAGUUGGAGGCGUCAGCUGUGGACCUUGGGCGUUGUUGCCACUCUGCGCACCCAGAGAGCACCAAGCGGCCACAUAAGAUAAGAUCUCUGCAGAUCCUGAAGUCGAACUCCCAGUGACCCCAUGCAUCCUAAUCAGAGGUGACCAGCAAUUCAAGAUUGCUGUUGAUGGGUUACUUGUCAAUGACCACAUCACCUCUCCCAUUGUGGCCUUGAGCUACGUCUUCUCCAUGUUUUAUGUCUGCAACGUCCAAUACCCACCGGAGAUGGCUUUUACUCUCGAAUUCAUGCAAAGGUAAGCACUCAUUGUUUGGAAAUACUUUGUAAAUGUGACUUUGCCAUGCCUUUCUGCACCUGACCUGCUUUUUGUCAAUCUACACUAAACCCGUUUGUCUGAGAUGUACAAGCUCAAAAUGUGUCGCCACAUGCUGUGAGCUUUUAGAUCAGCUGUUAUUGGCUUAUGA